CCUACGGGAGGCAGCAGUGAGGAAUAUUGGUCAAUGGACGAGAGUCUGAACCAGCCAAGUAGCGUGAAGGAUGCCUGCCCUAUGGGUUGUAAACUUCUUUUAUAUGGGAAUAAAAUGGUCCACGUGGGGGAUUUGGUAUGUACCAUAUGAAUAAGGAUCGGCUAACUCCGGGCCAGCAGCCGCGGUAAUACGGAGGAUCCGAGCGUUAUCCGGAUUUAUUGGGUUUAAAGGGAGCGUAGGGGGAUUGGUAAGUCAGUUGUGCAAGUUUGCGGCUCAACCGUAAAAUUGCAGUUGAAACUGGCAGUCUUGAGUACAGUAGUGGUGAGCGGAAUUCGUGGUGUAGCGGUGAAAUGCUGAGAUAUCACGCAGAACUCCGAUUGCGAAGGCAGUUCACUGGACUGCAACUGACACUGAGGCUCGAAAGUGUGGGUAUCAAACAGGAUUAGAUACCCUGGUAGUC
rnacentral:rRNA from 1 species